UAAUGCGACUGAACCCAUUGUUGUUAGUGAUGAUGAAGAUGAGGUUGAGAAUAGUAUUGAGGAUUAGACUGAAGAGGAUAACGAUGACGACGACGAUGACGAUGUAGACGACGACAACGACGAUGAUGAUGAUGCAUCUAUUAUGUUUGAUGUAGAUCAACGGCAAGAGUGGACUGGUCAGUACCGUCUGCGCUACACCUUGUGGAUACGGGGUAAAGAUGCGAGAGAAGAAAUUGCCGUCUGCCUGAAGAUGUCUGGAAAUAAAAGAAUAGAAAGAAAGAUAAAGCAGUAAGUUAGGAAGAAGUGAGAAGAAGGAAUGAAAUAAAGAAUAAAAAUGCAAAAGGAAGGAAGGAAGAGAGGGGAGAAGAAAGGAAAAGACGAAAGAAAGAAGAAUGAUGAAAUGAUUUCAGAUGAAACGCCUUUUAUUACAGGUCUCCUUGAUAGGAUCUGACCUGGGACCAAGCAGCAUCGGGUCUUUUCGGUUUAAAUACUCUUGUUCUGAUUUAAUGGAAAAUUUUUUGCACAGAUGUAGUUUUUCAAGAGAGUUACAUAAACCACAACCAUAUUUUUGGAGAAAUUUAUAAUAAAAUAGUUACGAACUUUUAAAAGCUGGAAAUUUUCGUAACUUUAAUCAAUAAGAUCCAUACGUUUCUUCAUUAUACGCCAUCGCAGUGUUAUGGAAAACGCCAUGUUUGUUUUCUUUUGUUUUGGAGACGCGGCGUUAGUUUGAGAAAUUAAAUACUAAAAGCGUCAUAAAACUUUUAGAGAUGAAAAAUAUUUAAUGAAAGAAAAUGAAACAAAGUUCGCAAUGAAAUUUUAUGAUAAACAACAACGUUUAACUAAACCAACUCUUAAACCCAAGAUGGUUUCAAUCGGUUGCUAUGGAAACAUAUACAAAUAACAUCAUCUGUUGGAUGAGAUGUCAAGAAUAGAUAAAUAUGACUGAUUAAAACUAUAAAAAAAAAUUCAGUCUUUAAAGUAUUUGCUUCAUUAACCAAGGAGGAACGAAAUAGAAUUUCAUACCAGAAAUAUUGUAGCGAAUGAACUUGAGACACGUCAAAUUUAAAAUGCAUCUACAUAUGUCAGUUUUAAUUCAACGCAAGUUAAAGUUAUUGUGUCAUUUGAACUAAGGAAGCAACAAACAUUUACAAAUAUCAAACAAGUAUCAUCACCAAAAAUAACGUCUGCAUCAGAGAGGAUUGAUACUAGGGCAGUAAAGGCAGAAACUGCCUUCAAAAUUCCCAGUAAAACAGAGUCCUCUAAAGAUAUCCGGAAAGUGCAUUGGCAUGGUAUGUUACAUCUCUGAGGUUAAAAAAAAAAAGAAUCCUCAGAUAUGCACAACUAGGGUGAGGUUGGCGGAGCAUCAGAUCAAUUCAUAUUAUAAUAAAAGCUAUGUUCUUCACCACA